ACGACCUUACUUGAACAGGAUCUGUUCUAUAGGAUCGUACCUCUGUGUCCUUUAGCACGAAGGAGACAGGAACUCACGUCUGGUGGAUGAACAAUGACCGUGGGAUCAGAGCGUGAUUAAUGGCUGGAUCAGUUCUUCAGAAUUGUUUACGGCUGUAGAGGAUCGUUCUCGGUUGGGGAUUCCCUAGCUGGGGCGGUCCCACGGUUGUCUGACAGACU